rnacentral:rRNA from 1 species
UACGAGGGGGCGAGCGUUGUUCGGAAUUAUUGGGCGUAAGGGUGCGUAGGCGGUUUGAUAAGUCUGAUGUGAAAUCUAUGGGCUCAACCCAUAGCCUGCAUUAGAAACUGUCGGGCUUGAGUAUGGGAGAGGUGAGUGGAAUUUCCGGUGUAGCGGUGAAAUGCGUAGAUAUCGGAAAGGAACACCUGUGGCGAAAGCGGCUCACUGGACCAUUAUGACGCUGAUGCACGAAAGCUAGGGGAGCAAACAGG